CGACCGUUGCCGCGCAACUCAGCGCGGGUUUGUUUGUUGGUUGAGACAAAGGCCCUUCGUGCCGAGUUUAAUCACGGGUCAAUUUACCGCUAUCUCUGGAGAAACAAAGAACUGGAAGACUGGAGAAAUUAAAUGACAUAAGGAAUCACCACGCAAGGCAAAAGAUGCAUCAUCUGUCUAUGACAGCAAAAAGGACAGAGCACAACCCAUCCGGAGGUAAAAUCCUGUCCUUACAACAAAGACCUCCUCAGUCAUGGAAUGUGAUGUUAUCAUCAUCAGGGGCUCAAGGGGUUAAAUGAUCUAUUCCUGUUUCUAACAUCCUUUGAGAUUAUUGAUCUGCUGAUAUGUUCAAGAAGUGAAGAAAAUUAUGUAACAUAGUUCUCCAUCGUGUAAGGUUUUACCUUCUUGUAAAACUCACAGGAUUUUGGAAUUUAAUUUCUUAAUGCCUGUGAUUAUGGUGACAUAUUUAAGUCAUAUUGUGGAA